rnacentral:rRNA from 1 species
UCCGUGCCGGGGCCCCUAGUGACCCCGGUGCGAGCCGAGACGAAACCCGAAGGCGAAAAGAAAUUGAAAACGAGUCCGGCACUCGUCGAGGGAAGAUGGCGACGGAUCCGGCCCCUUUCGGGGGGUGUCGCAGAUCGGCCCGCACUCCCGGGGUGCCUCGUUCGCCGGCCGGCACGGCCGACGAGAGGUGCGCCCAGAGCACACACGCUAGGACCCGAAAGAUGGUGAACUAUGCCUGACCAGGACGAAGUCAGGGGAAACCCUGAUGGAGGGUYUGAGNUGGGUAUAGGGGCGAAAGACUAAUCGAACUAUCUAGUAGCUGGUUCCCUCCGAAGUUUCCCUCAGGAUAGCUGGCGCUCGGAGGUGACACAGAAACGAAUGAAUGAGUCUCUUCCGGUAAAGCGAAUGAUUAGAGGCCUUGGGGCCGAAACGACCUCAACCUAUUCUCAAACUUUAAAUGGGUGAGAACCCCGGCUUGCUCGAGAUGUU